UACGGAGGGUGCAAGCGUUAAUCGGAAUUACUGGGCGUAAAGCGCACGUAGGUGGUUUGCUAAGUCAGCUGUGAAAUCCCCGGGCUCAACCUGGGCACUGCAGUUGAAACUGGCAAGCUAGAGUAGGGUAGAGGGGUGUGGAAUUCCAGGUGUAGCGGUGAAAUGCGUAGAUAUCGGAAAGAACACCAACGGCGAAAAGCACUCUGCUGGGCCGACACUGACACUGAGAGACGAAAGCUAGGGGAGCGAAUGGG
rnacentral:rRNA from 1 species